GCGGAUGGAUCAUUUCAUAAAAAAAAGAACUCAAAAAAAGUUAUUUAUUUAACUUUUGCCUAAUUUUUUUAAUUUAGUAUUCGUAUUAAUUUAAAUUAAUUUGGGCAUCUCUCUCAAAAUUUAUUUCGUAUGUCAAAUUAAUUGUAAUUGUCUAAGAUGUUUCCACUCUGUGGAAAUAUUAAAGUCAAUGAUUUUUAGUAAGCAUAAAUGGUGGAUACCUCGGCUCCUAAAUCGAUGAAGACCGUAGCAAACUGCGAUAAGUCACUCGAAUUGCAGACUACUGUGAAAGUCGAAAUGUUGAACGCACAUGAUGACAUUGACUCCCCCGAGUUAAAUGUCACACUUGGUUGAGAGUCGCAUCUCAUUAUCAUUUCUUAAUUCUAUUAAGAAAGUAUUGGUAAAGAUUUCUUAGAUAUUACAUUCGGAAUCUUCACUUAAAUAUAAAAAAAAAAGUAAUAUCAGGUACAAUUCCAAUAAGAAACAAAAUCGUUUUCCAAUUUGUUUCCGCAAGGAAACAGCAAUUGAAUAAUUUUUUUGUUAUAAAUUUUUAACAAUUAUUGAUUUCGAUUCAAUUUUUGUGAGAAAAUUUCGGAUAGUACGAAGUUUUGAUCGUUAAUUCAAGGAUGGGAUUUACAAAAUCUUAAACUGGUAAUGAAAAAUUAAAACUAUCAAUUUGAAAGAUUGCCUCGCGUGAUUUUUUAAAAUGUUUUAAAUUAGUAAUUAUCGUAUGUUUUUGAUUAUUGUAGACUUGCACUGCUUUAACACAUGGUUAAAAUUUUGGAAAUUUGAGAAUUUUUCAUAUUAAUUGAAAUGAUUCCGGUAAUGACAUAAAAUUUUUAGCAUAUAUAAAAGUUAUUCAACUGUCAAUUAUGGUUGUUAAAUUUUUUUGAGUACCUACAAAAAUUCUUUGGUUCCUUAUUAACAAAUGUUUUAAACACUGUAUUGUUAAGUUUUUAACAUUUUAAAAUAAACACUUCCAAAAGCGAC
rnacentral:misc_RNA from 1 species